CUAGGAGGUGAAUUUCUAAGACUUUCACAUUGCCAUGCCAAUCUUCUUCCUCAUCUCCCAACACAAAUAGCCGUCUUCGCAGGGGUCAUCCUUUUAACAAAUUGUCCCUGACUCUGUGCUUUGUGCUAGAGUUAUGUUGACAAAGAGACACACAUCUGGUAGCUCUUCAUAGGUUAUUUGAGCUUCUGAGCAGGAAUUGUGCAAGGAGAUCAUUUUUGACUCCACCAUCCCAGCCUAUGCUUCUGGCCUGUGGAGGGAAUGGAGAGAGUAAAUGAGUAUGUGUGGUCCUCUGGCCUUCACUACCGGUCCAGGGACUUUGUCCUCUGGGCGCUGGAGUAGGAUUGAAGAAGAUGGGGGGCCAUCUGGACCAGCUGAUUUGUGAGGCUGAUGAAAUGUGUCUUUGGCGCCUCCUCCUGUCUACUCAAGCAAUUACAGUGAUUAUACAUAUCAUUAAAUAUGUAUCAUUAAAUUUGAUGUAUAUUUUCUUUGACUCUGACACUCAGCUUGGUCUGCGUUUACUUUGGCAUUCAUGGUUUGUGGCUCCUGUCUGUGAUCGUAAGCAUGGAAUUUAUAAACCACUUUGUGUUCAGUCCGUUUUGCUGUAAUCAAAAAUAAACAGAAAUUAUUAUAGUUGUUUUAACUUUACUUCUAUUAUACAGACUUAUAUUUAAUUAGUUCCAUGAGGAAAAAAGACUUCUAAAAGGUAGUAUGAACCCCUUAGCCUUGAUAGAAAUAGCCAAGGUUGAGAAUUCUGCCAAGUCUACCUAUUUAGGCCAGUAUUCUCAGCUGGUCUUGAUCAAAGACGUUCGUACUAUGUGUGCAAGCAAAAAUCUGCCCACAAACAUGUACUGAGAGCUGUGAUCAGUCAUAUUCAAUUGGGCUCAAAAUAUCAAAGCAAAGUGGGGGAGACUUGGCUAAUAAAGCUUCUUGUGUAUGUUUGAGUGGAGGAAGGGUAUUGGCAAAGGAAAGUUCCAGACCUCCCUUUUCCUCUAUCUGAAAUGUAUUCUUACUGGCUCUGAAAAGAAAAAUCAAGGAAUCAUGCCCCUAUUUGGAAUUUUUGAGUUUAUAUUGGUUUAUUUUAUAUUUUUUACAAUAUUAAAGAUUUGUCCAUGAACAUAAAGAUCUUUGAGGCUUUUUUAUUGAAAUGGAAAAAUGUGUGUGCCAAUGUAAUUAUGUAAAUUGUCUACAAAACUUAGAGAGAUUGAAAACUCUAGGCCUCUGAUUACUUUCAGGCUGAGAUUUUUUCAUGCCAAAUCACUUGGAAUUUGGCUGCUUCUCUGAAUCUUCUCCCCUGUUCAAUGAUAGGAAUGAACUUGAACUUCAACUGUGAGAAUAAGUAGGGGUGACAAAUGCCCCUACUUACAUAUUCUAGGAGCUUCUGGGAUUCUCUGAAGAAAGACUGAAAGCAACUGUGUCUUGGGCAACUCAACACUAAAAUUAUGCUGCUUUCAAAUAAACGACUCAAUGUUUUAGGUUGUUUCUUGUGUUUAUCACCGGACUUUAGAAAACC
rnacentral:lncRNA from 10 species